rnacentral:rRNA from 1 species
AUGAGUCUGUUAUGCUGGAACUGCUGUAAGGCUGGCAAACCCGCGACAGUUUGAGAGCUUCGAGACAUUUCGAAACAAUUUGCCCCCUCUAUUCUUUGUAUUCUCAAAACUCAAAUUAAGGGUACCCGUGUGGAAAACUUAGUAGGCACUCUAGAUUACAAUAAGAGUUAUGUUGUAAGUAGUUCUGGUCGUAGUGGAGGUCUUGGAAUUUAUUGGAAAGAUGAAAUAAAACUUGAGGUUGUGGGUUACUCAGAGUACCAUAUUGAUGCAUUGAUUGAUGACCUUAUGGAAACACGAGUGAGAAUUACUUUUGUGUAUGGCGAGGCCCAAGUGCCUUAG